rnacentral:rRNA from 1 species
GUUUAAAUAAAAAAAAAAAUAAAAAAAUCUCGUCUGAUCUCAGAAGCUAAGCAGGGUCAGUUCUGGUUAGUACUUGGAUGGGAGACUGCCUGGGAAUACAAGGUGCUGUAAGCU